rnacentral:rRNA from 1 species
GGGGACCCGCAAGCGGUGGAGCAUGUGGUUUAAUUCGAAGCAACGCGAAGAACCUUACCAGGUCUUGACAUCCUCUGACAAUCCUAGAGAUAGGACUUUCCCCUUCGGGGGACAGAGUGACAGGUGGUGCAUGGUUGUCGUCAGCUCGUGUCGUGAGAUGUUGGGUUAAGUCCCGCAACGAGCGCAACCCUUGUCCUUAGUUGCCAGCAUUCAGUUGGGCACUCUAAGGAGACUGCCGGUGACAAACCGGAGGAAGGUGAGGAUGACGUCAAAUCAUCAUGCCCCUUAUGACCUGGGCUACACACGUGCUACAAUGGAUGGUACAAAGGGUUGCGAGACCGCGAGGUUUAGCCAAUCCCAUAAAACCAUUCUCAGUUCGGAUUGUAGGCUGCAACUCGCCUACAUGAAGCCGGAAUCGCUAGUAAUCGUGGAUCAGCAUGCCACGGUGAAUACGUUCCCGGGUCUUGUACACACC